rnacentral:rRNA from 1 species
CCUACGGGAGGCAGCAGUGAGGUAUAUUGGUCAACGGACGAGAGUCUGAACUAGCCAAGUAGCGUGAAGGAUGACUGCCCUAUGGGUUGUAAACUUCUUUUAUAUGGGAAUAAAAUGUUCCACGUGUGGGUUUUUGUACGUACCAUAUGAAUAAGGAUCGGCUAACUCCGUGUCAGCAGCCGCGGUAAUACGGAGGAUCCGAGCGUUAUCCGGAUUUAUUGGGUUUAAUGGGUGCGUAGGUGGAUUGUUAAGUCAGUUGGUAAAAUUUGCGACUCAACCGUAAAAUUGCAAUUGAAACUGGCAAUCUUGAGUACAGUAGAGGAGGGCGGAAUUCGUGGUGUAGCGGUGAAAUGCUUAGAUAUAACGAAGAACUCCAGUUGCGAAGGCAACUCACUGGACUGCAACUGACACUGAGGCUCGAAAGUGUGGGUAUCAAACAGGAUUAGAUACCCGAGUAGUC